rnacentral:rRNA from 1 species
CUCGUAGGUGGCCAACUAAGUCAGACGUGAAAUCCCCAGGCUUAACCUGGGAACUGCGUCUGAUACUGGAUGGCUUGAAUUCGGGAGAGGGAUGCAGAAUUCCAGGUGUAGCGGUGAAAUGCGUAGAUAUCUGGAGGAAUACCGGUGGCGAAGGCGGCAUCCUGGACCGAGAUUGACACUGAGGAGCGAAAAGCUAGGGGAGCAAACG